GAAAAGCGAAAGGUAAGUAAAAAAAAUGUAACCUACUACAACAUGAUAUCUUUACUUAGCAUAAAUGGCAUAACUAUGAAAGCAACUAUGCAUGAAGUAAAAGUCUCCAACUAUCAUAAUGUUCACAAUGCGAAAUAGUAAAGUUCCGCUGUUUACUAUUCUAGUCAAUGUCCAAGUAAUACUCUAAGUCAUCAUCUGUCCACAUGUCACAUAAUGAAUACUCAAGUCAAAUUUGAAGAGACCCACCCAAAGGCUGUCUAUGGCCCUGAGACCCACCCGUAGGCUGUCUGGCCGGUGCCGAGCCUAAUGGCCCCGUGGUAGUCAUCAUCCUCACCCUAGGAAUGAGCCUGGCCCACGGCAAUCCACUUCGGCGCCCAAUCCCGCACGGCGAAUAUGAAUCGCGAUGGCUAUCUCCGGAGUGCCGGCUUGUAGGGAGCGACCCUCACAAGCAUGUGCGAAUGAGCACAAUGGCAAGUAGUCAAACGAUCCGUCGCAAGUACCAAGUCCUCAUGUCUAAUAACAUGGAAUGUGUCAAGUAUCUCAAUGGCCUAUCCCUAUGUCAUCAUGUCUCUAACAUGAAAUAUAGCAGAUAUGUAGUGGCCUAUCAAUAUGUCUCUACGUUGCAGUUUCAUAGUUUACUAGUCUCAAGUGCCCCUUUAUGACACUCUUGUUCUCUAUGUCAAAGCAUGGCAACUAUGUUCCAAAGUACAUAUUCCAAGUCAUAAUCCUCAUAAGAGAUGUAUUUUCCACUUGCAAAAUAAACACUUUUCCCGUAUGCAUGCAUUCUACUCAUAUAGCUCUACUAUAUAGUGAAAUUUUCAUAAUACAUAAGGCAUGCAUUUUAAGUGCUCUAAAAUUCAUAUAAAUUCCAUUUAGCAUAGAAAUAAAUUUAAAAAUAUUUUACAACAAGUAGAAAGAGCAUAGGGGCCAUUUCGCCCCAUUUCCACGAAGCCAAACCCACCGUCGUCAACGAAAGCUUUCGUUUACCACGACGAAGGCGUCCACCACACUCCUAGUACCCUAAAGGUAUGAAAACAAGUGUCAUCUAGUCGAAACGAAUGACGCUACGUUCAAUCAUUAAGCCUUUCAGGCAUAGGUGGAGAGAACUCACCUCUAGUGCGAAAAUCUCCUCUAAAGCUCCAAAAGAGAGCUAGGGUCCAUCCAAUCCAACUUAAUGGAAGCCUCUAAUCCACUCAAUCUAGCUUCAAAAGCC
rnacentral:lncRNA from 1 species